rnacentral:ncRNA from 21 species
AUUAUGUGUAUUUUUGUGCAUUCGUUUUUUAGAGGAAUUACGGUGAAUCAUGUGAAAAUCAUGAGCUGUCGCGCAACUGUAAUUUGUUUUGAUACAAAAAGCCAGAUCCCGUCUUCUAAAACUACUUCGCG